UCCUGAAAGAGGAUUCUGAUGUUAGCCCC
rnacentral:piRNA from 1 species